rnacentral:rRNA from 1 species
AUUGAACGCUGGCGGAAUGCUUUACACAUGCAAGUCGAACGGCAGCACGGGGGCAACCCUGGUGGCGAGUGGCGAACGGGUGAGUAAUACAUCGGAACGUGCCCAGUCGUGGGGGAUAACGUAGCGAAAGUUACGCUAAUACCGCAUACGAUCUAUGGAUGAAAGCGGGGGACCGUAAGGCCUCGCGCGAUUGGAGCGGCCGAUGUCAGAUUAGGUAGUUGGUGGGGUAAAGGCCCACCAAGCCGACGAUCUGUAGCUGGUCUGAGAGGACGACCAGCCACACUGGGACUGAGACACGGCCCAGACUCCUACGGGAGGCAGCAGUGGGGAAUUUUGGACAAUGGGCGCAAGCCUGAUUCAGCCAUUCCGCGUGCAGGACGAAGGCCUUCGGGUUGUAAACUGCUUUUGUACGGAACGAAAAGGUCCUGGUUAAUACCCGGGGCUCAUGACGGUACCGUAAGAAUAAGCACCGGCUAACUACGUGCCAGCCGCCGCAGUAA